ensembl:lncRNA
GCUGCCACAGUUCCAAGAACUGGCCUCAAGGAAAUGGGAACAAGCCAACCCUAGAAAUGAAGAUUAACUGUACUUAAAACAAUCAAGAUGAUGCUGGUCAGGCCACUGAUGACCAAUUUCAAGAUGAUGGUCAGAGCUGACUGUGCUGUCCUGCAUGCAGCCCCCUCCCUUCGCUUGUAAAAGCUCUUGCCCACAGGUUGUCAACAGGGGAGAGGCAGCAAACUUUCCUUUUCCCCAUCCUUGCCUCUUUAUUGACUUUUGAGCAGGGUGCAGUUGGACACCAUUUUCGGUUAAAAAGGCAUAUCGUUCUCCCCUUCCCCCACAAAUUUUUGUAUUCUUGUUGCAUAAAAUCUUUCUCACAUGGUUAACUUUGGUAUUGCCUUCCCUGAUAAAAAUGCUUAGAUAUUAAAAUAUCAGAUUGAAGAAACAAAAAUCAGAUAACUAAGGAGAGGUUUCUUCUAAUGGGAAAUACUAGGCAUCAAGGCCAAAUUCAUGAUGCUGCCUUCUAAUUUUACUCAUGAUUAGCAUCAUGAUGGCCACCAGACAUCUCCCACACACAUUACACCAAUUACAAAUUUGUUUUUACAAUGAAUGGUCACUUCAUAAACACGAUGCAUGAAAGAUACACUUCCUGUUCUGUUCUCCCCAGACAGCUGGGGAGGAAAAGUCUGAUUCUUUAUACAAAGUCUCCUUGUUGUCAGUACAUAUGGUCUGUAGUUUCCAGACAGGGUGUCACCCCAGAAGUUGGCAACGAGGUACAGGAAAAUGUCAGCUUUUGCUGCUGAUGUUAAAUGAAGUUCACUGCUUAGGGCAGUCCAGCCCCUAACUGCAUCUGUAUGUAGGCCUGCUGAUGAUGGGGCAAUAUCUUCCCAAUUUCAAGGGGGCAAAUGUAACUUUUAUGUAAGAAAAAACAAGAUGUGAAACUGAGGGCAGUAGAAAAAAAAAAAGACUGAAAAACUAUUAGUGCCUUGAGCAGAACUCCAUGCUCAGUAUAAGUAGCAUGAUGACUUUCAGCUCUGUUUUUUCAGGACAGCUGGGAAGAACAGCCUACACCUUAGUCUGAUAACAUUUUCCAUUAAAAUAGUCUAUUUCUCUUUGCUUCAACGUUAGCCUUCCGAUAGAAUGAUUUCCAAUAUCCAUGGUUUCUAAUAGACAGUCCUUGUGGAAAGAGUACAGUAAACAUUCCAACUCCUUGGCAGUUCUUUAUCAGCAUCAGUUAAUGCAAGAGAAUCUUGGCUUCUAAAUGGAAGGUUACAGAUAUUUAAAGAAGGUGGAGGUACUGAAGCCUCAAUAUCAAUAGGUGAAUUUCUCAACAGAGGUCAGAGGAAAUGGUGGAUUUAAUAUUGAAACCGAGGUUGACUGGUGCUGAAGUCCUUGUUCUUCUUACUAUACCACGCUACUUCCAAAAUACUGAUGAUAUUCAUUGUUGCCAGUGAUAUGUUUUAUCCAAAAAUCUAUACCAUUUAUAAAUGACAUUUAUUGAGUUCUUGCUAUGUGGUAGGCACUGUGCUUUAAAAAUAUUGCCUCUGGACUUCCCUAGUGGCCCAGUAGUUAUGAGUCCAUGCUUUCAUUGCAGGGUACAUGGAUUUGAUCCCUGAUCAGGGAAGUUCCACAUGCCGUUCACUAAGGCCAGAGAAUAAAUAUAAAUAAAUUCAUUUACAAAUAUUGCCUUAUUUUAUGCUCAUGACAUAUCUAGCAGGUAGACUUCACUAUCAUUUUUCACAGGUGAGGAAACUGAUAAAAUCAGUUAAAUUGCCCCAAAUCACACACCAUGAAGUCACACAGCUAUCUAGUGGUGGAGUCACAUGUGAAAGCCUCUAGAACAUCUGCUGCAAUUGGACUAUGUGUUCCUCUAGGGCAAGAUCACGAUAUGUGAACAAUCUCCAUAUAGCGGGCACCAGUGAAGGUCAUUGACUGGACUAUGACAGAGCAUGACUUUACUGGAGAGAUAAAGCCUGAAAAUCAAGCUGGCACUAGAUAUAAUAGAAAAACAAAACAAAACAAAACUGUAAAUGAUGCAAAUGCCCAUUGUAAACAAUGCAAAUGUCCAUGGGGUCACAAAAGAGUUGGAUAUAACUGAGCAACUAAACAACAACAAUUCCAGGUUUGAGGAAAUUAGGAUUAUGUUUAUUUUUUAUGGAGAUAUUGCCAAGAUACAUUGUUAGUUAAAUUUUUUUUUAAAUAGAAAGCAAGCUGUACAAAGGUAUAGAUAUUAUGCUAUAUUUUGUGCAACCAAUGUGUUUCUAUAUAUAUUAUAUAUAUGAUUUAAUAUAUAUAUGAUUAAAG